GCCAGGCCGACUGACCGCAGCGGAACGACCGGGUGGCCCUGGCCGCCCGGCCGCGGCAACACGACGCCGGGGUUGUCCUCCCCGGCGGGCGGCACCAUGUCCUUUGUCGCCGGUCCGGUGCCGGACCGGCGGCAUUUUCGGCAGCGCGGCGCUGCCGGCGCAGGCCGCUUCGCGGCGGCAGGGCGCGUGGUAACGCGUGUUAUUCUUGUUUGAAUGUCCGUGCCUGCACGGCCUCCGAUCCCGAACCCAUGAUCCAGCAGCGCACCCUCAAGAACACGAUCCGCGCCACCGGCGUCGGCCUGCACAGCGGCGACAAGGUCU
rnacentral:sRNA from 1 species